GGACUACCGGGGUUUCUAAUCCUGUUUGAUCCCCACGCUUUCGUGCCUCAGCGUCAAUCUUCGUUUAGCCCGCUGCCUUCGCAAUCGGUGUUCUAUGUCAUAUCUAUGCAUUUCACCGCUACAUGACAUAUUCCGCAAACCUCAACGAUAUUCAAGACUAAUAGUAUCCAAGGCAGUUUCCGAGUUAAGCUCGGAGAUUUCACCUCGGACUUAAUAGCCCGCCUACACACCCUUUAAACCCAGUGAAUCCGGAUAACGCUUGCACCCUCCGUAUUACCGCGGCUGCUGGCAC
rnacentral:rRNA from 2 species